ensembl:lncRNA
UAUAUAUAUAUAUAUAUAUAUAUAUAUAUAUAUAUAUAUAUAUAUAUAUAUAUAUAUAUAUAUAUGAAUUAGACUGUGCAUGAACAGUGCUUUCAUUUAAAUUAAAAGUCUGUUGGUUUCUGAGUUUACUGGCAGGGAGUCACUUGACAGGGACAUGCUAACUACUUAAAGCCAUAUUCUCUUAUCUUUAUUCUACACUUUGUAAGAGUAGUCUGUUGUUUGGCUUGAAGUGUUUGCAUUUGGUAGACAUAUUGGGUCUUCUCCAGCCUCUGAAUGCAAACAUACGCGGCCAGCUUCAGGCCAGGCUGCAUCACUGAAUGCUCGUCUAACCCGGCGGUGUCAGUCAUUUGUCGGACGUCUUGUAUGUUGCCCGUGUAGUUGUGGAAACAUUGUCUUGCCUUUUCAGAUUAUAGCUAACCAUUGUCACUCGUCCACCAAUUAUGAUGUAUUAAAAAUGUCAUUUUGAAUGAAGACGCACCACGUGACGCACAAAAGCAGCGAUCUACGUAACAUGUUUGUGUCAUAGAAGUGCAUGUCAUGUUUAGAAACUGAAGCUGUCGCCGUAACGCAGCUAGUUGAUUUAGUUGUUGAAACCGCACUACCACCGUUCUCCUCUAACACUCUGCUCCUCAGUGAGAUCCCCUUGAUGUGUGUGUCCACGGCACAGGGAAUGUUUUGAUUUGUGGUCUGUUUUGUCAGCUGUUUGGCAAACGGUUGAAUCAGUCGGAACAGAAUCUCUGCAUGGGGGCCGAGCAGCUCACAGUUGAGGUCUACACACAUAAAAAGCCAGGGCUUUGUAAGGACUUAAGAAGCCAUUUCCCAUCCAAAUAUUACUUGUUGUGAGUUACAUACACACACACACACAUGCUAGGCUAGUUGGGUUUACUUUUCCAGAAUGUUUAAGCUGUUGAGAAUCACAGUGCAAUCCGCUCGUUUUGGUUUUUAGUUUGCUAACUGGAAUUUUUGAGAGGUUCUUGUUACUUGACCAACAUCUUUCUUCGUAACAGCCUUUACUAACUGACAGGUUAUAUUUUUCUUUAUGCAAAAUGUCAAGGGCUUUUGGCACUCCAUCCACAGUAACCCGAAAUGACCCAGAUUUCAGUUGUGUUGCCUUAAAUGAAUGAUUUAAUAAAUAAUGGACUAGUAGAUGAUGCUCUGAGUGUUCCUCUGAACCAUGGUUUGCUCUUUUCCAGCUUCGUGUUCACACCACAGUGUGGGAAAGGGCCUCUGCUGGUGGUUCCAUCAGUUUGAAUGCUAGUGCUAAUGCUUUCUUAGACAUAUAGGGGAUCCUGUAUGACUCCUUCUAGCCCAGCUGGUUCCACACAUAGACUUCAUAAAGGCAUUCUCUUAAAAAGAUGUUGGGGACUGUGGUGUUGUUCUCUUAAUGUUUAAACCAUGGGAAGACAGCUUUAUGCCUCCAGAAAAAUGUAUCCUUAUCUGCAAAGUACACUACAUAUGGGGGAGGAACAGUCAGGCAUUCGUUUCCUGGUCCAUUUAAUACAGCACAACCUGAAUUUUUCUGCUGCAAAACCAAAUUGACCAUGCUCUUUUACAUAUAUGUCUUUGUAUACACAUGCAAUGUAUUUAGUUGCAUGUAUGUAUGAGUAUGAGACCUAUGGUUUUAUCCAUGAUAUGCUUGAUCUAUGGCUUAGACACUCUUAUUAACCAUUAAGAGAUUUAAAAGACAAAUAUGGUGCUAUCGGACCUCAUAUUGGGGUGGUCACAGCUCGUGACUGGUCAUGCGGACUCAUUGAUCAUAUCAUACUUAAAGAUGCUGCAUGUAAGAUUUUCUCUUUGGUGCGUCGCUGUGAAAUGACUCAUGACGGCACAUUUUAUUUCCGAAGGAUCACCAUUAUAAGCAGUAGCCCCAAGAGAAGAGCCUCUGUUCAGUCCAGUGUGGUUGAUUUUGGGAUCAAUUCCCUAUGGGAAAACCAGACAGAUAUUCAGACUCAUGUAACGAAGAAGGAAAAGUUCCAGCAGCAACACGUCACCGGGGCUAUGGAAUGUACUGUUAAUGGUCGUUAUUACAGUUCGGCAGUGAUGCAUUAAGAGAAAAUCCUACAUGUGUUACCUUUACUAUCCUUGAUAUAUGCAGAUCUGUUCAACAGGUGUUUUUUUUUUUUCCUACCAGUGCAAGUCAACACCCCUGCAGGUUUGAAAGGACAAGAAGUCACACGUUAACCUCCUUCCCCUCGAUUCCUCCCGACACUGUGGCCCAACCUCAUGGCCUAGUUUGUCAAGGUGUGAUGCGUGUCGCUCGGUAGAAGGUGGCAGUAGUAGUGGUCGUUGCCUCUCCUGGAAGAUUGGGUGCUGUGUUUACAGAGCACAUCCUUAGUUUUCCUUCUAGCUGCUGAAUCGUUUGACCUCCUCUGAAAGGGCAAGAUUUGAGUUGUUGACUAGAUCGUGUUGUCGAGGCUCUCGCCGCCUCUUUUAAACUAUGUCGAAGGAAAGCAUCUCCUGCAGCGGGACAAAGAGUUAAAGCAGAGUAUAGUCCUGCUUCUGUACUGAUUAACUGUUUAAAGCAUUGAUACCUCAUAGGAUAUUAUGGAACGACAUUUGUAGUUUGUUGUAGCAGAUCGUGUUUUGGUUCCAUACCAGGGUUAGAGUUCAGCCUCAGCAUUCCUUCCGUGGUCAUUCUCAUAUUUCGUGGAAUGCUCAAGCUCAUGUUACCUUCGUAUGUUUGACUGAACCAAAGAUGCCAGCGGCCAUGCCCAAAUGCUGCUCUUCAGGCCUGGCUUCCUGUCCUUCCAAAAAACACCCCUGCAAUUGACAAAAUGUUCUUUGUCUUUUUAUUUGUGCGAUUUCUCAACUGUCUUGACUUAUGAAGCAACCCGAUUUUUUUCAAUGAAUUUUCAUUGAGUCUAUCUCUGAAGCCGUACAUGGCAUCAAGGAUGGUAAAAAUGGUUGCAAAUUGUUGUGACUUGUUUUGUUUAUUAUUAUUAUUAUUAUUAUUAUUAUUAUUAUUAUUAUUAUUAUUAUUAUUAUUGCUAUAAUUUCAAAAAUGAAAAUCCCAUGGUGUGCCUCCUAGCUUUAUGGGUUUAUAAAUGUUUUUUCCCUAAAGACCAGCAGUUAUACUUUGUAUAAAAGAUGGAUUUUUCCUUAUUUUUUAUGCCAUUAAAGAUGAAAAAGCCUGUUUUCUUUACUCUGGACCCAGUAGCUGCACUGGUAUACAAUCGCACUGAUACAAGAGUUAAAAAAAAAGAAUAAGUGAAUCAAUAAUAAUAAUGAUAAUGACAAAUGAAAUAAGAACUACAAUAAACUUGUGUUUGAAACUUUUAUUAUAAAAGCUAUUAAAAAAGAAAAUAAAAAAGAAAAUGACUGUUUUUGUACAUCAAAAUAAAUUCUUUUCAAAAGAAUAUUUUGGAUCUAGUUUCAAAAUUAUUUUAGUGGUUUUCUAUGUUCUAAAUUUUUGAGACACUGACUUCUAAGACGUGUCACUGUACAAAAUGACUUUUUUCUGUUGCAGUGGCCUGAUGGGCUGGGAGGGUUACCUGGUGUAACUCCUCAUACCAACUUUUGUUUCUUUUCCUUUGGAUCUUUUGUUUUUCUUCUGCUUUAGUAACUUGAAAAAUGUUGAUGGAAUAAUAUGAACUGGGAACUUUAAAUCCAUCCCCCUGUAGAGCUAGACCCUUCCUCCUUUCCUAUUGAAUUGCUGUUAGUGUGACGAGACUUGAAAUGGGCAUUUAUUAUGAUAGUAUGACUCCAAAAAAAAAAAAAAAUCACAAAAAAUAUACACAAAAAAAAAAAAUAAAAGAAAAAAAGCAAAAAAUUGCAAAAGAAAAGUGCGGGGAGGGUUGAAAGAAUAUAUAUAGAUGGGUUAUCUGAGUAUGUAAGCAAUGGCUGUGAAGAUAAUGUAGUUUUAAACAUUGUUAUUACCUUUUAAAAUCAUUUAUUCAAUAAAAAAUACAAAAUCAACUGAAAAGACAACACGUGUCCUUCUAUUGUCUUCCACAUCCACAGCGGAGGCUUUCUUCAGUAAAGUCAAUGAUUCAUGCUGGAUAUAAAUACUAUAUUGUCUUUUCAACAUGAUGUAUGAGUGUGUCACAUGUCUUUCCAGGUGAUAGAGCUGCCAUAGUAACAGAUUUCAUCCAGGAAGAGCAAGAUUUCAGUUCCACUCUCUGGCCUCCAAUAAUAGAGCAGGACUGAAUGUUUGGAGUAACUCAACUGAUCUCUGCCAGUGCUCUGGUCUGCUUUUUUCAAC